rnacentral:tRNA from 1 species
GCAUCUCGUUUACACCGACACGAUAUCUGUGAAAUUCAGAUCAUUUUGA